rnacentral:rRNA from 1 species
GACGAACGCUGGCGGCGUGCUUAACACAUGCAAGUCGAACGGAGAGGCCCUGCUUUUGUGGGGUGCUCGAGUGGCGAACGGGUGAGUAACACGUGAGUGACCUGCCCUUGACUUUGGGAUAACUUCAGGAAACUGGGGCUAAUACCGGAUAGGAGCUCCUGCUGCAUGGUGGGGGUUGGAAAGUUUCGGCGGUUGGGGAUGGACUCGCGGCUUAUCAGCUUGUUGGUGGGGUAGUGGCUUACCAAGGCUUUGACGGGUAGCCGGCCUGAGAGGGUGACCGGCCACAUUGGGACUGAGAUACGGCCCAGACUCCUACGGGAGGCAGCAGUGGGGAAUAUUGCACAAUGGGCGGAAGCCUGAUGCAGCAACGCCGCGUGCGGGAUGACGGCCUUCGGGUUGUAAACCGCUUUCGCCUGUGACGAAGCGUGAGUGACGGUAAUGGGUAAAGAAGCACCGGCUAACUACGUG